rnacentral:rRNA from 1 species
GAUGAACGCUGGCGGCGUGCCUAAUACAUGCAAGUCGAGCGAAAAGACGAGGAGCGUGUGCCUCUACGGUUAGCGGCGGACGGGUGAGUAACACGUGGAUAAGCUACCUAUAAGACGGGGAUAAUAUCGGGAAACCACUGCUAAUACCGCAUAAUAUAUUGAACCGCAGGGUGCAAUAGUGAAAGAGACCUUUGCCGUCAGUAAGAGAUGGAGCCGCGCCGCAUUAGCGAGUUGGUAAGGUAACGGCCUACCAAGGAAACGAUGCGUAGCCGACCUGAGAGGGUGAUCGGCCACACUGGAACUGAGACACGGUCCAGACUCCUACGGGAGGCAGCAGUGGGGAAUCUUGCGCAAUGGGCGCAAGCCUGACGGAGCCAUACCGCGUGGGUGAUGAAGGUCUUCGGGUCGUAAAGCUCUGUUGUUGGGAAAGAACAGCUGUAUAUGUAACUCUGCACGUCUUGACGGUACCUAAUCAGAAAGCCCCGGCUAACUACGUG